rnacentral:lncRNA from 1 species
UCGGUCAGGUGCAGUUACAACAUUAACGAUGUAACUGCAUUUAUAUGGACAAAACACAAACGUGUUUAAUUAUCGUGAUAAUUAGUUAUAGGUUGACAGAUAUUGAUUAGUGUGAAAGUAUUUAUAAAAAUGUUAAAGUGUUAAAUAUUGAAUUAUAUUGGCUGCAGACAAGAAACAAGAUUCACUGUAGGAAUGGGUGAAAGGCUCUGUGCAGUGAGAGAAGGGGAGGGGUUAUAGAUGUCAAAGCACAGUGAGCCCGUGAACAGGAGGGAGGGAGGGGGGAGGGAGACGUGAGAGAGCAAGAGAAGACAGAGACUACACACUGGAAAGGAAGAAGUGACAGGAAACAUUGGGACGAUCCUACAGCACAGAUGGAUCGAUACAGAGACAGGACGACUCUCAACCAUGAAGAGCUGAGCAGAGGAAUCGUGACCCUGCUGAUCUCCUCAGUACAACUGUCUGACAGCGGGCUGUACAAAUGCUACAUCCCAAAGCUGAAGGUUGGUUGUACCAUCAAACUCACUGUCGUAGAAGAAGACCAACAGACCACAACUGGACCUCCAGAGGAAGACGUGACUGAGCCAAACAAUGCCAAUGUUGGGAACAGGUUUGCGGCUCGUGCUUGUAUCAUUACUGCUGCUGUUGUUACUCUCUACGUUCUCGUUGUUCUGGUUCUGUGA